AGCCUGUUGGAAGGUGGGUGUGUUCUGUGGUAGUAUAUAAUAUAUAAAGAUACAGAUAGAAUCUGCAGCCUGUUGGAAGGUGGGUGUGUUCUGUGGUAGUGUAUAAUAUAUAAAGA